rnacentral:misc_RNA from 1 species
ACCACAUUAUCUUUCUCUAUUGCCAACAAAUUCUAACUGCCAUUCUCUUCACACUCCCCUCGCAAUCCCACAAAUUGUUUCACAUUUAUAUGUGACAAUGAAUCUUUUUUAAAUUCCUCAGUUUUACAAGUUUUUUCGGUUAAAUUCUUAAUUUUUUUUAAUUGCUUUAUAUACUAAAUUCUUGAUCUUUUAUUAAAAUUUCGUCCAAAA